rnacentral:rRNA from 1 species
GCUUAGAAGCAGCCACUCAUUUAAAGAGUGCGUAAUAGCUCACUGGUCGAGUGAUCCUGCGCCGAAAAUUUCCGGGGCUAAAACGUACUACCGAAGCUACGGCAUCAUUUAUGAUGGGUAGGGGAGCUUCGUAUGCAGGCUGAAGCAUGACCGUAAGGACAUGUGGACAGUAUACGAGUGAGAAUGUUGGCAUGAGUAGCGAGACGUGGGUGAGAAUCCCACGGGCCGUAAACCCAAGGUUUCCAGGGGAAGGUUCGUCCGCCCUGGGUUAGUCGGGACCUAAGCCGAGGCCGAAAGGCGUAGGUGAUGGACAACAGGUUGAUAUUCCUGUACCGCCAAUAAGCGUUUGAGAGAUGGAGUGACACAGUAGGAUAAGCUAACCGUACUGUUGGUUAUGUACGGCUAAGCAUUGAGGCAGUCUAAAUAGGCAAAUCCGUUUAGACAAUGCUAGGAUGUGAUGGGGAAGCCCUUCGGGGCGAAGUAGCUGAUUUCACACUGUCAAGAAAAGCUUCUAUCGAGUUUAAAGGCGCCCGUACCGUAAACCGACACAGGUGGGUGAGGAGAGUAUCCUAAGGCCAGCGAGAGAACUAUUGUUAAGGAACUCGGCAAAAUGACCCCGUAACUUAGGGAGAAGGGGUGCCUGUCUAUGACAGGCCGCAGAGAAUAGGCCCAAGCGACUGUUUACCAAAAACACAGGUUUCUGCUAAGUCGCAAGACGAUGUAUAGGAGCUGACGCCUGCCCGGUGCUGGAAGGUUAAGGGGAUCUGUUAGAGCAAUCGAAGCAGUGAACUUAAGCCCCAGUAAACGGCGGCCGUAACUAUAACGGUCCUAAGGUAGCGAAAUUCCUUGUCGGGUAAGUUCCGACCCGCACGAAAGGCGUAACGAUUUGGGCACUGUCUCAACAAUAGACUCGGUGAAAUUGUAAUCCCGGUGAAGAUGCCGGGUACCUGCGACAGGACGGAAAGACCCCAUGGAGCUUUACUGUAGCUUGACGUUGGGUCUUGGUACUACAUGUACAGGAUAGGUGGGAGACUAUGAAGCAUGGACGCCAGUCUGUGUGGAGUCAUCCUUGGGAUACCACCCUUGUAGUACUGGGAUCCUAACCAUAGGCCUUGAAUCAGGUCUUGGAACACCGUCAGGUGGGCAGUUUGACUGGGGCGGUCGCCUCCUAAAAAGUAACGGAGGCGCUCAAAGGUUUCCUCAGCACGGUCGGAAAUCGUGCGAAGAGUGUAAAGGCAAAAGGAAGCUUGAUUGCAAGACAUACAGGUCGAGCAAGGACGAAAGUCGGACUUAGUGAUCCGGUGGUUCCGCAUGGAAGGGCCAUCGCUCAACGGAUAAAAGCUACCCUGGGGAUAACAGGCUUAUCUCCCCCAAGAGUCCACAUCGACGGGGAGGUUUGGCACCUCGAUGUCGGCUCAUCACAUCCUGGGGCUGUAGUAGGUCCCAAGGGUUGGGCUGUUCGCCCAUUAAAGUGGUACGCGAGCUGGGUUCAGAACGUCGUGAGACAGUUCGGUCCCUAUCCGUCGCAGGCGUAGGAAAUUUGAGAAGACCUGUCCUUAGUACGAGAGGACCGGGAUGGACGUACCUCUGGUGUACCAGUUGUUCUGCCAAGGGCAUGGCUGGGUAGCUAUGUACGGAAUGGAUAAGCGCUGAAAGCAUCUAAGCGCGAAGCCAACUUCAAGAUAAGAUUUCCCACCGUAAGGGUAAGACCCCAGGAAGACUACCUGGUUGAUAGGUCGAAGGUGUAAGUGCAGUAAUGUAUUUAGCUUAUCGAUACUAAUAGGUCGAGGACUUGACCAA